rnacentral:tRNA from 1 species
UGGCUCAGUGGUUAGGGCAUUUGGCUCACGAUCGUAAGGUCGUGGGUUCAACUCCCGC